rnacentral:pre_miRNA from 1 species
ACAACAUUCGGACCGUCAGUCACCCGAGCAAUAUGACUCGGUAGAAGAUCUUCCCUUCGCCAU